rnacentral:rRNA from 1 species
UGAAUACGAGAUGCUACGGCGUCGAAGCAGUGUAUGUCAGACUUCCAAGAAAAGCUCGCAAUGUCAUAAAUAAAGAAUGCCUGUACCAUAACCGACACAGGUGGGUAGGUAGAGUAUACUAAGGGGCGCGAGAUAACUCUCUCUAAGGAACUCGGCAAAAUAACUCCGUAACUUCGGGAGAAGGAGUGCCUUCUUUAAGAAGGUUGCAAUAACAAGAUCCAAGCAACUGUUUAUCAAAAACACAGGUCUCCGCUAAGUCGUAAGACGAUGUAUGGGGGCUGACGCCUGCCCAGUGCCAGAAGGUUAAAGAAGUUGGUUAGCUUUUGCGAAGCUGAUGACUGAAGCCCUGGUGAACGGCGGCCGUAACAAUAACGGUCCUAAGGUAGCGAAAUUCCUUGUCGGGUAAGUUCCGACCCGCACGAAAGGCGUAAUGAUUUGGAUACUGUCUCGGAGAGGGACUCGGUGAAAUAGACUUGUCUGUGAAGAUGCGGACUACCUGCACCAGGACAGGAAGACCCUAUGAAGCUUUACUGUAACUUGAAAUUGAAAUUGGACUUUAUUUGCGCAGUAUAGGUGGAAGGCGUUGAAAGUAAUCUUGCGGGAUUAGUGGAGCCAUCAGUGAGAUACCACUCCUAUAAUGUUAGAUUUCUAACUUUGGAUCAUGAUCUGGUCAAAGAACAGUUUCAGGCGGGCAGUUUGACUGGGGCGGUCGCCUCCCAAAUGGUAACGGAGGCGUACAAAGGUUUCCUCUGAACGGGUAGAAAUCGUAUCUAGAGUGUAAAGGCAUAAGGAAGCUUGACUGUGAGACCUACAAGUCGAGCAGGGACGAAAGUCGGUCUUAGUGAUCUGACGGUGCUGAGUGGAAAGGCCGUCACUCAACGGAUAAAAGUUACUCUAGGAUAACAGGCUGAUCUCCCCCAAGAGUUCACAUCGACGGGGAGGUUUGGCACCUCGAUGUCGGCUCAUCGCAUCCUGGGGCGGUAGUACGUCCCAAGGGUUGGGCUGUUCGCCCAUGAAAGCGGUACGCGAGCUGGGUUCAGAACGUCGUGAGACAGUUCGGUCCAUAUCCGGUGUAGGCGUUAGAAUAUUGAGAGGAGCCUUCUUUAGUACGAGAGGACCGAGAAGGACAUACCUCUGGUGUACCAGUUAUCGUGCCAACGGUAAACGCUGGGUAGCUAUGUAUGGAGAGGAUAACCGCUGAAAGCAUCUAAGUGGGAAGCCCACCUCAAGAUGAG